CUCAGGACGAACGCUGGCGGCGUGCCUAUACAUGCAAGUCGAACGCUUCUUUUUCCACCGGAGCUUGCUCCACCGGAAAAAGAGGAGUGGCGAACGGGUGAGUAACACGUGGGUAACCUGCCCAUCAGAAGGGGAUAACACUUGGAAACAGGUGCUAAUACCGUAUAACAAUCGAAACCGCAUGGUUUUGAUUUGAAAGGCGCUUUCGGGUGUCGCUGAUGGAUGGACCCGCGGUGCAUUAGCUAGUUGGUGAGGUAACGGCUCACCAAGGCCACGAUGCAUAGCCGACCUGAGAGGGUGAUCGGCCACAUUGGGACUGAGACACGGCCCAAACUCCUACGGGAGGCAGCAGUAGGGAAUCUUCGGCAAUGGACGAAAGUCUGACCGAGCAACGCCGCGUGAGUGAAGAAGGUUUUCGGAUCGUAAAACUCUGUUGUUAGAGAAGAACAAGGAUGAGAGUAACUGUUCAUCCCUUGACGGUAUCUAACCAGAAAGCCACGGCUAACUCG
rnacentral:rRNA from 1 species